GACGAACGCUGGCGGCGUGCUUAACACAUGCAAGUCGAACGAAGUGGCGAACGGGUGAGUAACGCGUAAUCAACCUGCUCUUCAGACGGGGACAACAGUUGGAAACGUCUGCUAAUACCGCAUACUGAAGGAGGGGAUUGCGUCUGAUUGGCUAGUUGGAGGGGAAACGGCCCACCAAGGCGAUGAUCAGUAGCCGGUCUGAGGGGGUGAACGGCCACAUUGGGACUGAGACACGGCCCAGACUCCUACGGGAGGCAGCAGUGGGGAAUCUUCCGCAAUGGACGAAAGUCUGACGGAGCAACGCCGCGUGAGUGAUGACGGCCUUCGGGUUGUAAAGCUCUUUUAAUCGGGACGCGGUACCGGAAUAGAAAGCCACGGCUAACUACGUGCCAGCAGCCGCGGUAAUAC
rnacentral:rRNA from 1 species